UACGUAGGGUGCAAGCGUUGUCCGGAAUUAUUGGGCGUAAAGAGCUCGUAGGCGGUUUGUUGCGUCGGCUGUGAAAUCCCGAGGCUCAACCUCGGGUCUGCAGUCGAUACGAGCAAACUAGAGUGUUGCAGGGGAGAACGGAAUUCCUGGUGUAGCGGUGAAAUGCGCAGAUAUCAGGAGGAACACCGGUGGCGAAGGCGGUUCUCUGGGCCUUACCUGACGCUGAGGAGCGAAAGCAUGGGGAGCAAACAGG
rnacentral:rRNA from 1 species